GAAAGUCUUGUCAUCAUUAGAUAUGAGUUCUUGAUUAUAUUCUGAAUAUUGAUGAUUAGAAAAAUCUUAUGUUCUGUUGCUCUUAACAACAGACCCACACACAACAAAAAGCAUGCUAUUUGAGUAACUCUUACGACUUACAAGGCUGAGGGCUGUGGUGUGCAUUAUUCUUUAGGGUCUUCCACCAGCAGUGCCUCCUAUUAACCUGUGACAAACAAGUCUCUCAAUGUUAAAGAACUGGACAUGUGUUUUUUAUGUUUUUUGUUAGGAAUCAGAAAGUAUAAUAAUAUGCUUGGUUUCUUUUUCCUAUAGUAACAUUUUACAAAAGAGCUGCUAGGCAGGUAUUUUAUUCUCAAAGUGAUCUCAAACUGGAUGUAAAAUUUUAAAUUAUUUUUUUAAUAGUAGUAUAAGAAUUCUGGCUGCUAUUAGUUAUUGUUUGUUUUCUGGGUUAGAAGCUAUUCGAAAAGUCCAGUUUCUGUCCCAGUGUAGCAAAAUGUAGUUCCUCGGUUGUUUUUCUUUAAAUGCUUUAUAAUUUUACACUACCUUUUUAAUAUACAAACCUCAUUCUUCAUUGGAUAACUUGAAGGCUUUGAUUUCUUUAAAAAUUUAAAUUUUAGUGUGUAUAUUACUUUGACAGUUCC
rnacentral:lncRNA from 1 species